rnacentral:rRNA from 1 species
GUGGGGAAUAUUGGACAAUGGGCGCAAGCCUGAUCCAGCAAUGCCGCGUGGGUGAAGAAGGUCUUCGGAUCGUAAAGCCCUUUCGACAGGGACGAUGAUGACGGUACCUGUAGAAGAAGCCCCGGCUAACUUCGUGCCAGCAGCCGCGGUAAUACGAAGGGGGCUAGCGUUAUUCGGAAUUACUGGGCGUAAAGGGCGCGUAGGCGGCUCUGUUAGUCAGGCGUGAAAUUCCUGGGCUUAACCUGGGGACUGCGCUUGAUACUGCAGGGCUUGAGGCCGAGAGAGGGUGGUGGAAUUCCCAGUGUAGAGGUGAAAUUCGUAGAUAUUGGGAAGAACACCGGUGGCGAAGGCGACCACCUGGCUCGGUUCUGACGCUGAGGCGCGACAGCGUGGGGAGCAAACAGGAUUAGAAACCCCGGUAGUCC